AGUUAGACCUUGUCAGGAACCUGACCAGGCAUAUCUGCUUCCGGUCAUGUAGAUCAUCUUCUCUGAGGCUCGAGAGCCCACCACCUUCCUGGUGUGUCUGGACGUUUAAACUUACCAAGCAGAAAAUUCUCUUCAUAUCCUUCAGUUUGAGCUCCUUUAUUUGGUGUUGGUUCUCUAAAGAAAUCUUUGAGAAAUAAUAUAUCCUUUGUUAAGUCUUCAAGAAAUAACAUAUCCUUUGUUUCACUGGGCAACAUACCCAAUCUGAUCUUGGAGGAUUCUGAAAGUGUGACCCAGUCUCAAGUUUAGAAAUGAAGGCUUGUCGUUUCACCUGGCUCCAGGUUUCUAGGACUUCCCUUUUGAGGAUUGUGCUGUCUAUCUUUGAGCCCAGAUUGGACACAGGAGUUGACAACCUUCAGGAGCUGUGAUGGAGAGCCAAAGGAACCAGCCUGACCAGACUUUAACGUUUUGUAAUCCUCUUGUGCGCUGUUUUCUGUGAAAGCAAUAGGAUUGUGGAUGGCCUGUCGUUGAGCCAGUCGCCUCUUCACUGAUCCCUUUGCAGCACUUGCAGGGAUUUGGGCAGACUGGACAGGAAGGUUUCCUUGUUCCUGUGAAUAGCAUCUCUCCGGGGUUUUAGUGGAUCAUUCUAAAGAGGUUGAGGUAAAGUGUUGGGGGCAGAUUUUUAGUCUAGUCUCUGGCUCCCAAGAAGGACCCUUUCUUACUCUUCUGAGAAGUUUGUUACUCCUGUCUGCACUUACCCCUUAGUAGGGCUCUCUGCUGUGGUGGCAGGUGAGAGGUUUGAGAUCAGGUCAAGGCCAGUCCUUGUGGAGCAGCUUGGGCACCAGCAGCCUAGCUGGAAAGCUUCUUGCAGUUUGUUCACUCUGUCGUUUUCUGAGAAGGUAGUCGUGAUUGUCAGUUACCAAAUUCCUUCCAGUCAGUGAUUUUUGCAGAGCCUGGGUCUGGAUUGUUUUUCUUUAUUUUCUGACACAACGUUUUGUUCUGUUGCCCAGGCUGGAGUGCAGUGGCAGUAUCAUAGCACACUGUAACCUCGAACUCCUGGACUCAAGGGAUCUUCUUACCUCAGCCUCCAGAGAAGCUGGGACUACAGUGUUGUACAGUGUUUUGGGCAUGCACAUGAUGCUCACACAGUGGCUUCUGCUCACCAACAGAUGAAGACAGAUGCACCGAUGAGGGGGAACCAGAGAGAGAGAUUGGACACAGGAGAAGGAGGCAAUGUAACUACCUCAGCAAGAUACUACACUGCUGGCUUUGGAGGUUGAAGAGAAGGCCAAAAACGCAACGAAUAUAGCUUUGGAAGCUGGAAAAGGCAAGGAAACUGUUUUCCCCUAGAACCUCUGGAGGAAAUGUGGCCUUACCAACACAUUCAUUUUAGCCCAGUGAAACUAAUUUUGGAUUUCUGACCUCCAGAACUGUAAGAGAAUAAAUGUUUUGUUCUAAGUCA
rnacentral:lncRNA from 13 species